UACGGAAGGCAGCAGUGGGGAAUAUUGCACAAUGGGCGCAAGCCUGAUGCAGCCAUGCCGCGUGUAUGAAAAAGGCCUUCGGGUUGUAAAGUACUUUCAGUCGUGAGGAAGGUGUUAAGGUUAAUAACCUUAGCAAUUGACGUUAGCGACAGAAGAAGCACCGGCUAACUCCGUGCCAGCAGCCGCGGUAAUACGGAGGGUGCGAGCGUUAAUCGGAAUUACUGGGCGUAAAGAGCACGUAGGUGGUUUUUUUAAGUCAGAUGUGAAAUCCCUGGGCUUAACCUAGGAACUGCAUUUUGAAACUGAAAUACUAGAGUAUCGUAGAGGGAGGUAGAAUUCUAGGUGUAGCGGUGAAAUGCGUAGAUAUCUGGAGGAAUACCUGUGGCGAAAGCGGCCUCCUAAACGAUACUGACACUGAGGUGCGAAAGCGUGGGGAGCAAACAGGGAUUAGAUACCCUCGUGAGGUCUCGGACGGACGCACACGGGAGGUAGUA
rnacentral:rRNA from 1 species